rnacentral:tRNA from 1 species
AAUGGCAGAAUAGUGCAAUGGAUUUAAGCUCCAUAUAUAAAAUUUAAUUUUUUUUAGAA